rnacentral:rRNA from 1 species
GAUGAACGCUGGCGGCGUGCUUAACACAUGCAAGUCGAACGGAAGUUUUAAAGGAAGUUUUCGGAUGGAAUUUUAAACUUAGUGGCGGACGGGUGAGUAACGCGUGAGCAACCUGCCUCUGUAUGUGGGAUAACGUCGGGAAACUGACGCUAAUACCGCAUGACGCAUAGAAGUCGCAUGUCUUUUAUGCCAAAGAUUUAUGUGCUGAGAGAUGGUCUCGCGUCUGAUUAGCUAGAUGGCGGGGUAACGGCCCACCAUGGCGACGAUCAGUAGCCGGUCUGAGAGGAUGAACGGCCACAUUGGGACUGAGAUACGGCCCAGACUCCUACGGGAGGCAGCAGUGGGGAAUAUUGGGCAAUGGGGGAAACCCUGACCCAGCAACGCCGCGUGAAGGAAGAAGGCCUUCGGGUUGUAAACUUCUUUUAGUAGGGACGAAUACGUGACGGUACCUACAGAAAAAGCAACGGCUAACUACGUG